UACGUAGGUGGCAAGCGUUGUCCGGAUUUACUGGGCGUAAAGAGCGCGCAGGCGGUCGUUCAAGUCGCGUGUGAAAGCCCCCGGCUCAACUGGGGAGGGUCACUCGAUACUGAUCGACUCGAAGGCAGGAGAGGGAAGUGGAAUUCCCGGUGUAGUGGUGAAAUGCGUAGAUAUCGGGAGGAAUACCAGUGGCGAAGGCGGCGUCCUGGACCAAUACUGACACUGAGUGAGCGAAAGCCAGGGGAGCAAACGGG
rnacentral:rRNA from 1 species